AGAGUUUGAUCCUGGCUCAGAGCGAACGCUGGCGGCAGGCCUAACACAUGCAAGUCGAGCGCCGUAGCAAUACGGAGCGGCAGACGGGAGAGUAACACGUGGGAACGUGCCCUUUGGUUCGGAACAACACAGGGAAACUUGUGCUAAUACCGGAUAAGCCCUUACGGGGAAAGAUUUAUCGCCAAAGGAUCGGCCCGCGUCUGAUUAGCUAGUUGGUGGGGUAACGGCCCACCAAGGCGACGAUCAGUAGCUGGUCUGAGAGGAUGAUCAGCCUCACUGGGACUGAGACACGGCCCAGACUCCUACGGGAGGCAGCAGUGGGGAAUAUUGGACAAUGGGCGCAAGCCUGAUCCAGCCAUGCCGCGUGGAUGAUGAAGGCCCUAGGGUUGUAAAGUCCUUUCGGCGGGGAAGAUAAUGACGGUACCCGCAGAAGAAGCCCCGGCUAACUUCGUGCCAGCAGCCGCGGUAAUACGAAGGGGGCUAGCGUUGCUCGGAAUCAC
rnacentral:rRNA from 1 species